rnacentral:tRNA from 1 species
GGGAAUAUAGUUCAGUGGUAUAGCACCUGCCUGGCAAGCAUGCGGUCCUGAGUUCGAUUACCAGUAAUCCUC